rnacentral:rRNA from 1 species
AUGCGGAGGGUGCAAGCGUUGUUCGGAAUCACUGGGCGUAAAGGGCGCGCAGGCGGUUUGGUAAGUCAGAUGUGAAAGCCCACGGCUCAACCGUGGAAGUGCAUUUGAAACUGCCAGACUUGAGUACCAGAGGGGAAAGUGGAAUUCCCGGUGUAGAGGUGAAAUUCGUAGAUAUCGGGAGGAAUACCGGUGGCGAAGGCGACUUUCUGGCUGGAUACUGACGCUGAGGCGCGAAAGCGUGGGGAGCAAACAGGAUUAGAAACCCUAGUAGUCC